CAGCCUCCCCGUCUGUCCUCGGCUCCUGGAGCGCACCAGCCUUGCACGGCCUGCCGGACGGCGCGCCUGGGACGGCCUCUCCAGUCUCCUCCUCGCCCCUGCUCCGCGGCCUGAGCCCUCGUCUGCUACAUCAACUCCUCCUCCAGGUUCAGACAUCUGCCCCUUUUGGGAUGUUCUUCCUGACCUCCCGCCCCAGUUCCCUGCCGCACGUUCCCAAGUCGCCCCCGUCACCGUUCAUCCGAAACGUCUUCCUGGCUGGAGCAAAACGCCCAUGGGGCCAGCGCUACGCUCUGAUCGGCCGCACGAGUCCCCCAGUCUAGGGCCCAGUUCCCCGAGGGCCCCCGACGAAGACCUGCGAACCUCCCCCCGCGCCCCCAGAACACCUCCGCAGAGCCGACCCCGAGGGCACGGGCCUGCGCACGCGCACACGCGCUCUGACGCCGCGAAAACGACUUCAAACGUCCGUUCACGGAACCCAAAUCCACACUAGACUUCAGAUGUCUCUAAGACACGCUAAUUCUUCCCAAAAUGACAAGGGAACAGAGCUCACGUCACCUCUUUCUGAGGCCCGCCCGUCUGGAAGCUUCAGGGUGACGCACAGGCCGGGCUGAGGCGGGCGCCGGCGGGGAAGAACGAGGGGGCUGCGGCAGCGCCAGAGGCCGCUCCUCCUCAGACGCCCUCACCGCGCAGCGACGCAAGACUGCCGCCCGCGGCCCGAGCGAAAGCCACACAGUGAAGCGCUUUCGGGUGAAAGAAGGAAGGAAGGACCCCCGGCCCCCACGGGCCAGCCCGCGCCGCAGACCCGCAGGAGACGCACCUCACACCGCACCGCCCGAACGCCCGCCACGGGCCGCAGCCGCCCAGCACUUCCGCUUCCGGAAGCGGAAGUGGCCUGGGCUCAGGCUUUCGGGGCCCGAGGCGGCUCCGGCGGCGGCGGCGGCGGCGGCGAGGUGGAGCCGUUCUGGGUCCAGCCUCCGAGGAGAAAUUCUAGUUUCCUUAACCGAGGGAGACGGGCGGAUUGGGAUCCAAGUGAUGGGGCAUCUGCUUGGUGGAGCCUAGACCCGUGCGACAUGGGAGCCAAGGAAAGACAGGAUCUGACUUCUACAGUGAGAAUCACGGGAAGUGAGGCGAUGAGCUGGGCGGUCAAAAAAGAAGGACAGAUAUUCCCCACAGUCGAUCUGGUCUGCCAUCCUCCUCUCUGCUUGUACGCAGAUGAGGAUAAAUGGAAGUCUCAGUAUGAAUCCUGCCUGUGUCUAGGAGAAAUGAUCCCCAAGCCGAACAGUCAUCUUUUCGUGGGGACCAGGCACAGUUCCUGCUCAUCCCGAAGCAGCAGGCUCCAGUGCCCUGGCAGCCUGCAGAGUUGCUCAAGCCGAUCACAUCCUCCCAUGGGAACCAGGAGGCACCUCACCCUCUUUUCCAGGCAGCGCCCGCUCUCCACCCGGUGCCUGAGUGCACCCGCACAGCCCUGCAUGGCUCGUGGUGUCCUCUUUCCCUGGGCUGUGAGGAAACGUGGCUGUCGGUACCAUCUGUCCAUUGUCGGGUGUCGUGUUCAACCAUCCCCAUAGCCCUCAGGCGUGAGCCCCUCCCUUACCGAAGAGAAGAGGAGGCGAUCCAUACAAGAGCGCAUAUAAAUCAUGAAUCUUUUUAAAGCACCAUUUGGCCAGAAUAAAUCAGAAUUGUUCAUGUGUUUACCCUUUGGCCCAGAUCCAGCAAAUUGCUCUAAGGAAAUAUUUGCACAGAAUCCCAGUGUUAACACGUGUGGAUGCUCACGCAGCAGCCUUUGUUUACGAGGUGAGGCGGGAAGCAGCCUAAGCGUCCGUCAGUAGGGGCCUCAUAAAUAAUUCCAUAUAGUGCGGUGUGGUGAAGUCAUUAAGGUUGAAGUAAUGUAUAUUUUACGAUAGCUGCUCAGACUCUGUCAGCACUGUGAGUUAAUUACACAGCAACAUCCUUAUUCUUCUCCCCUGAUGUUUGUCUGUUCCCAAGCUUGCUCUGCCCCAAUACCUGAUUUUGUUCCCUAAAACUAUGUCCAUGAAAAUGUAUUUUUUCCAUAAAUAAAUGAAAAGAAGAUCAAA
ensembl:lncRNA